UACGGAGGGGGCUAGCGUUGUUCGGAAUUACUGGGCGUAAAGCGCACGUAGGCGGCUUUGUAAGUUAGAGGUGAAAGCCCGGGGCUCAACCCCGGAACUGCCUUUAAGACUGCAUCGCUUGAAUCCAGGAGAGGUGAGUGGAAUUCCGAGUGUAGAGGUGAAAUUCGUAGAUAUUCGGAAGAACACCAGUGGCGAAGGCGGCUCAGUGGCCUGGUAUUGACGCUGAGGUGCGAAAGCGUGGGGAGCAAACAGG
rnacentral:rRNA from 1 species